rnacentral:rRNA from 1 species
GACGAACGCUGGCGGCGUGCUUAACACAUGCAAGUCGAACGGAAAGGCCCUGCUUUUGUGGGGUGCUCGAGUGGCGAACGGGUGAGUAACACGUGAGUAACCUGCCCUUGACUUUGGGAUAACUUCAGGAAACUGGGGCUAAUACCGGAUAGGAGCUCCUGCUGCAUGGUGGGGGUUGGAAAGUUUCGGCGGUUGGGGAUGGACUCGCGGCUUAUCAGCUUGUUGGUGGGGUAGUGGCUGACCAAGGCUUUGACGGGUCGCCGGCCUGAGAGGGUGACCGGCCACAUUGGGACUGAGAUACGGCCCAGACUCCUACGGGAGGCAGCAGUGGGGAAUAUUGCACAGUGGGCGGAAGCCUGAUGCAGCAACGCCGCGUGCGGGAUGACGGCCUUCGGGUUGUAAACCGCUUUCGCCUGUGACGAAGCGUGAGUGACGGUAAUGGGUAAAGAAGCACCGGCUAACUACGUG